CACGCCGUAAACGAUGAGUACUAGGUGUAGGGGGUAUCGACCCCCCCUGUGCCGCAGUAAACACAAUAAGUACUCCGCCUGGGAAGUACGAUCGCAAGAUUAAAACUCAAAGGAAUUGACGGGGACCCGCACAAGCGGUGGAUGAUGUGGAUUAAUUCGAUGCAACGCGAAAAACCUUACCUACCCUUGACAUGGACGGAAGCCCGGAGAGAUUUGGGCGUGCUCGAAAGAGAGCCGUCACACAGGUGC
rnacentral:rRNA from 1 species